rnacentral:tRNA from 1 species
GGGGCUGUAGCUCAGUUGGGAGAGCGCAUGACUGGCAGUCAUGAGGUCAGGGGUUCGAGACCCCUCAGCUCCACCA